GACCAGACUCCUACGGGAGGCAGCAGUGGGGAAUAUUGCACAAUGGGGGAAACCCUGAUGCAGCGACGCCGCGUGAGCGAUGAAGUAUUUCGGUAUGUAAAGCUCUAUCAGCAGGGAAGAAGAUGACGGUACCUGACUAAGAAGCCCCGGCUAACUACGUGCCAGCAGCCGCGGUAAUACGUAGGGGGCAAGCGUUAUCCGGAUUUACUGGGUGUAAAGGGAGCGUAGACGGCGAUGCAAGCCAGAUGUGAAAGCCCGGGGCUCAACCCCGGGACUGCAUUUGGAACUGUGUGGCUGGAGUGUCGGAGAGGCAGGCGGAAUUCCUAGUGUAGCGGUGAAAUGCGUAGAUAUUAGGAGGAACACCAGUGGCGAAGGCGGCCUGCUGGACGAUGACUGACGUUGAGGCUCGAAAGCGUGGGGAGCAAACAGGAUUAGAUACCCCAGUACGA
rnacentral:rRNA from 1 species